AACGAACGCUGGCGGCAGGCCUAACACAUGCAAGUCGAGCGAGGACUUCGGUCCUAGCGGCGGACGGGUGAGUAACGCGUGGGAACGUGCCCUUUGCUACGGAAUAGCCCCGGGAAACUGGGAGUAAUACCGUAUGUGCCCGAGAGGGGAAAGAUUUAUCGGCAAAGGAUCGGCCCGCGUUGGAUUAGGUAGUUGGUGGGGUAAUGGCCUACCAAGCCGACGAUCCAUAGCUGGUUUUAGAGGAUGAUCAGCCACACUGGGACUGAGACACGGCCCAGACUCCUACGGGAGGCAGCAGUGGGGAAUCUUAGACAAUGGGGGAAACCCUGAUCUAGCCAUGCCGCGUGAGCGAUGAAGGCCUUAGGGUUGUAAAGCUCUUUCAGUGGGGAAGAUAAUGACUGUACCAGCAGAAGAAGCCCCGGCUAACUCCGUGCCAGCCGCCGCAGUAA
rnacentral:rRNA from 1 species